rnacentral:rRNA from 1 species
GACGAACGCUGGCGGCGUGCUUAACACAUGCAAGUCGAACGGAAAGGCCCUGCUUUUGUGGGGUGCUCGAGUGGCGAACGGGUGAGUAACACGUGAGUAACCUGCCCUUGACUUUGGGAUAACUUCAGGAAACUGGGGCUAAUACCGGAUAGGAGCUCCUGCCUCAUGGUGGGGGUUGGAAAGUUUCGGCGGUUGGGGAUGGACUCGCGGCUUAUCAGCUUGUUGGUGGGGUAGUGUCUUACCAAGGCUUGGACGGGUAGCCGGCCUGAGAGGGUGACCGGCCACAUUGGGAUUGAGCUACGGCCCAGACUCCUAUGGGAGGCAGCAGUGGGGAGUAUUGCACAAUGGGAGGAAGCCUGAUGCAGCAACGCCGCGUGCGGGAUGACGGCCUUCGGGUUGUAAACCGCUUUCGCCUGUGACGAAGCGUGAGUGACGGUAAUGGGUAAAGAAGCACCGGCUAACUACGUG